rnacentral:lncRNA from 1 species
CCAUUAAUUUGGACUACAAAUGAUGAGCCCAAAAUGAGCGCCACAUGUCAAAUGAUGUGCAUGCCAAGUCAAGGGAAGUAACCAAUAGAACCAUGCCAUGUGUCAAAAUGAUGCAGCAAGUCUAGUGAAAUCAAAAGCCCAUAAAAGACGCCACAUCACUUGAAUUUAAUUGGUCAAAGAAAGUUUAACUUCAUCAUGACUCUUCUCUUUCCAUAACGGGGAUUCAUAAUUCAAAAAAAGGGACCAACAACACUAUCAAAAAGCAAGAGAAAGCACUUGAUCACCAAAAGAUUCAAAUUCAAGUUCAUCAAGACCAAAAGAUUCAAGCUCAACCUCAAGCCCAAAAACCUUGAAUUCAAGUACAAGUCAAGAUCAAGUCCGUCAAAUUUCCAAAUUAAGUUCAAAUUCAAGAUCAAGCUUUAAGCCUUUGAAUUUAUAUUUAAAAGGACGAAUCAGAGGAUUUAUAGAGAUUGUAAUAUUCACUUAUUGAAAUUAAUAAAACAAUUGUUGCAGUAUUUUUCUUGUCUCGAUUAUUAUUUUCGAUCACGAAAUUUUAUUGUCCAAUAAAUUUUGGGUUGCACUUUUGAUUAUUAUAUAGGCUCAUAAACAUAUGAUCGUAAUUCUCAAUUUUUCUUUAAUCCCACUGUUUCAUUUUGGCUGAACUAUUUAAAUCCCGAUACCCAAGCUCCCAAUCCCACUUUUACUUUUCUUAAACCCUAAAUCCCCAAUUUCCUCCUACCUCGCUAGAAACCCUAAAUCCCCAAUUUCCUCCUACCUCGCAAGUUUACUUUUGAUUGCUGUCAUAACCCUAUUCCAUUGUUUUAGGACUUAUUUCAUUAUUGCUGAUGUGUAUUUAUGGUUACACUAUGCAUUUUUUUUUUUCUUUUUUCUGUUGUUAGAGUUACUUCUUCGUUUCAAUUAUUAUCUUAUUACGGAGCACAGAUUUUAUUCAACUUAAUAAUUGUAUUUUUUCCGUGCUAAGACCUAAAGAAAUAAUGUUCUUUUUCUUUGUUUUCCGAGAGAAAAAUUACAUAGCUAUGGAGUGUACGGGUUGUGUUUCGGUUGAUUAUAGUUCUUCUCGUAGUGGUUGUGUUGUGGGUGAGUAUUUUUCGAAGUGGAGGAUUUGGAAUUUUUGUGUGGGUGUGUGAUGGAAUUCAAGGUCUUCGAGUUAAACUCAGUGAGUUGAAUCGUGAUGAUCACAUUAAAUGAAUUUCUGAUAAUUUGGCGUUCUGAAUCUGAACCUAUUAUAACUUAACUGUAGCUGUAUAUACCAUUAUACAAUAUAAGUUAUCUAUAUCAGUUGUAGAUUUGUGUAAGUCUAUCUUUAUACAACUUGAUUUGUUAUUAGGAACUCUAUUCGUAUGUUUUAGUCUUAAAGAAAUUGCGCAAAAUGCUAGGCGGUUUCUUGUUACCGUUGAAGGCAUAGGUAUGUUGUUUGUUGAUUUUAUUUUGAGGUUGAUUUGUUAAGAGAUUUUUGAUUUGCUGUAUGUACAAUCUGUAUCCAUGUCUAUGAGCGAAAAUGAUCAUCUAAAUAAAAUUAGUAAUCUAAAGCCUUAAAUAUGUAUAAAUAUACGGAAAAAAAAAGUAAUGAUUAGCUAUCUUCUUUAAUCAUACAUACUAUUCACUUUUAAUAGUCUUAAAAACAUAAAUUGUUUUACUUCAAAUAGUAAUACUUGUAGACACCUAAUUUCGUCCCUCUCCGAUGUUAUUUUAUCCAUUUUUACCGUAUCUAUCGUGUACCUUCACUUGUGUGAUGAUCCCUCCACAAAUAACAAAAAUAACAAUCCCCUAACUAAUUUUGUAUUAUCCUAGCAAUCUACCCAAAUAAAAAUAGACACCUAAUCCUUAUUCCUCCAAUUAAAAAACAACACUUACCUAUCCUAUCCUAACAACCCAUCCAAUAAAAAAAAAAAAAAAACCAUCACACCCUACCCCCUACCCCACCUACCCUAUCCCACUACCCCACCCUCACCUAAUGUAUACACUACACCUCACGGGAUUGGGGGAGGAAGCAGAACAUUCCAAUUUUUCUUUUCUUCUUCACAGGACACACAAAGGGGCCAUACACAGACCGGGGGGGGGGGGGGUGUCUCCUCUUCCAUUUGACAGAGAAGGAAGAUCGCUUCUUCCAUCGUGACUCCCCAAUUUUCUAUUGAUUACACAGACCCACACUAUUUUUCUCAAAGUUCCCAUCAAUAUACACAUAUAUAUAAAAUCAGAGAGCUGAAAGAGAGUGACGAAGGGAAGAUAGUUGAGAGAGAUAAAGAGAAAGAGAGGAGAUCGAGAGGGAGACGGUAGGUUCGAGCUUCUCCGGUGAGCUCAUCAUCGGACCAGACCAUUUCUUCAUCAUUUUCUAAUUCUACCAGCUCAAAGUCGCACAUAUACAGCUACACGAAAUCACCAAGCCAUGGGAGAGAGAUUCGAGAUCGAGAGAUGAGGGAGAAUGGGUAAGAAAUUUGGUCUUGGUUUGAGUCUUUCGGAGAGAUUCAGCCCCUGUUUGAGCUUCUCCGGUGAAACUUUUUUGUCAAAAUCUACCACUGGUUCAUGUUCAGCUGGUUUCUAGCCUUCGAAAGCUUGAAGUUCCUUUAGUUUCUUUUUUUAUUUCUAAGAAUAAAUCGGGAAACGCUCGAGUUGGUGGGUUCUAUUGAGAUUUGACGUCUCGGGUCAUAAUUUCUCGAUACCGAGUUGAGAUUCACUCACUGUCCUUAGUAAUUUUUGGAUUUUUGAAUCUGAUUUUUUGGAAAGUUGGUUGAUCCGAGUUGUGGGUUUGUUGACUGAGGUUCUACUCGGAUAUUUGGACGUAGUCUUUGUCUUUUCACUCGAUUAAUAUUUGAGUUUGAAAGCUACGAAUCGAGGUCCUCUUUUAUUUAAUGUUUACUAUAUUUGGUGUGUUGGAGUGAAUAUUGUGUUUGGUUGAUGGUUGUGACGUGGUGAUAUGUUUCGAUAUUGUGUUUGAGCAAUCGUGAUUACUGUGGUUGAUAUUGAUUGAUUGAUUCACGUGAAUGAAGGAAUUUAAAGAUUUGAAUUAAUGUGGGAAUAAGUGGGACGAGAAUUGAAAACUUGAUAUAAUUGGUGAAUUUUGAUUAGUUUGAUUCAUUAGUUGUUUGACUUGAAAUGAACGUUAAUUGAAUUUGAUAGUAUCAAGAUACGCCGAUUGGAAUAGGUAAGAUGUAGGUCGGGUAGGCAAAUCUAGAGAUUGUGGGUUGAUUGAAUGUUUGAAAUUUGAUUGAAUGAUUUGAUUUUAAUUUUUUGGAUCAAUUGUAUAAUUUGGCCGGGGAAUGCCCCGAAGUAUCUGUAUAUAUUUAUUCACCGGGGAAUGCCCCGAGGUAUCAUGUACCCGGAGGACGUUCGUGGUGAAGGCCCGAGGCGUCGGGUAGAGCAUUAAUUUAGGAUUAGCGUAGGUUUACUUUCAGUCCCUUUUAUUUCGGGUUGUAAUAAUUGGACUGGACUUUACAUUUCGGACUGUUUUGUUU